ACUAUCAUAGUUCGGUGGUUAGAACGCCCGCAGAGGUUUAAUCGCUGAAGCGGAAGGUCGAGGGUUCGAUUCCCUCUAGUGGCA